ACGGUAUCAACAGAAGAAGCACCGGCUAACUACGUGCCAGCAGCCGCGGUAAUACGUAGGGUGCGAGCGUUAAUCGGAAUUACUGGGCGUAAAGGGUGCGCAGGCGGUUCUGAAAGUCAGAUGUGAAAUCCCUGGGCUUAACCUAGGAAUUGCGUUUGAAACUACAGGACUAGAGUGUGACAGAGGGGGGUGGAAUUCCAUGUGUAGCAGUGAAAUGCGUAGAGAUAUGGAAGAACAUCGAUGGCGAAGGCAACCCCCUGGGUUAACACUGACGCUCAGGCACGAAAGCGUGGGGAGCAAACAGGAUUAGAUACCCUGGUAGUCCACGCCCUAAACUACGUCAACUAGUUGUCGGAUCUUAAUAGGUUUGGUAACGUAGCUAACGCGUGAAGUUGACCGCCUGGGGAGUACGGUCGCAAGAUUAAAACUCAAAGGAAUUGACGGGGACCCGCACAAGCGGUGGAUUAUGUGGAUUAAUUCGAUGCAACGCGAAAAACCUUACCUACCCUUGACAUGUCAAAAAGUCCCUAGAAAUAGGGGUGUGCCUGAAAA
rnacentral:rRNA from 1 species